rnacentral:rRNA from 1 species
UCGCGUCAGGAUAUGCCUAGGUGGGAUUAGCUAGUUGGUGAGGUAAGGGCUCACCAAGGCGACGAUCCCUAGCUGGUCUGAGAGGAUGAUCAGCCACACUGGAACUGAGACACGGUCCAGACUCCUACGGGAGGCAGCAGUGGGGAAUAUUGCACAAUGGGCGCAAGCCUGAUGCAGCCAUGCCGCGUGUGUGAAGAAGGCCUUCGGGUUGUAAAGCACUUUCAGUCGUGAGGAAGGUAGUGUAGUUAAUAGCUGCAUUAUUUGACGUUAGCGACAGAAGAAGCACCGGCUAACUCCGUGCCAGCAGCCGCGGUAAUACGGAGGGUGCGAGCGUUAAUCGGAAUUACUGGGCGUAAAGCGCAUGCAGGUGGUUUGUUAAGUCAGAUGUGAAAGCCCGGGGCUCAACCUCGGAAUUGCAUUUGAAACUGGCAGACUAGAGUACUGUAGAGGGGGGUAGAAUUUCAGGUGUAGCGGUGAAAUGCGUAGAGAUCUGAAGGAAUACCGGUGGCGAAGGCGGCCCCCUGGACAGAUACUGACACUCAGAUGCGAAAGCGUGGGGAGCAAACAGGAUUAGAUACCCUGGUAGUCCACGCCGUAAACGAUGUCUACUUGGAGGUUGUGGCCUUGAGCCGUGGCUUUCGGAGCUAACGCGUUAAGUAGACCGCCUGGGGAGUACGGUCGCAAGAUUAAAACUCAAAUGAAUUGACGGGGGCCCGCACAAGCGGUGGAGCAUGUGGUUUAAUUCGAUGCAACGCGAAGAACCUUACCUACUCUUGACAUCCAGAGAACUUUCCAGAGAUGGAUUGGUGCCUUCGGGAACUCUGAGACAGGUGCUGCAUGGCUGUCGUCAGCUCGUGUUGUGAAAUGUUGGGUUAAGUCCCGCAACGAGCGCAACCCUUAUCCUUGUUUGCCAGCGAGUAAUGUCGGGAACUCCAGGGAGACUGCCGGUGAUAAACCGGAGGAAGGUGGGGACGACGUCAAGUCAUCAUGGCCCUUACGAGUAGGGCUACACACGUGCUACAAUGGCGCAUACAGAGGGCAGCCAACUUGCGAAAGUGAGCGAAUCCCAAAAAGUGCGUCGUAGUCCGGAUUGGAGUCUGCAACUCGACUCCAUGAAGUCGGAAUCGCUAGUAAUCGUGGAUCAGAAUGCCACGGUGAAUACGUUCCCGGGCCUUGUACACACCGCCCGUCACACCAUGGGAGUGGGCUGCAAAAGAAGUAGGUAGUUUAACCUUCGGGGGGGACGCUUACCACUUUGUGGUUCAUGACUGGGGUGAAGUCGUAACAAGGUAGCGCUAGGGGAACCUGGCGCUGGAUCACCUCCUUAAACGAUGAU